CCUACGGGAGGCAGCAGUGGGGAAUAUUGGACAAUGGGCGAAAGCCUGAUCCAGCAAUGCCGCGUGAGUGAUGAAGGCCUUAGGGUUGUAAAGCUCUUUUACUAGGGAUGAUAAUGACAGUACCUGGAGAAUAAGCUCCGGCUAACUCCGUGCCAGCAGCCGCGGUAAUACGGAGGGAGCUAGCGUUGUUCGGAAUUACUGGGCGUAAAGAGUACGUAGGCGGUGAUUCAAGUCAGAGGUGAAAGCCUGGAGCUCAACUCCAGAACUGCCUUUGAAACUAGAUCGCUAGAAUCAUGGAGAGGUUAGUGGAAUUCCGAGUGUAGAGGUGAAAUUCGUAGAUAUUCGGAAGAACACCAGUGGCGAAGGCGACUAACUGGACAUGUAUUGACGCUGAGGUACGAAAGCGUGGGGAGCAAACAGGAUUAGAUACCCUGGUAGUCCACGCCGUAAACGAUGAUAACUAGCUGUUCGGGGUCUACGAUCCUGAGUGGCGCNGCUACGACAUUAAGUUAGUCCGUCCGUGGGUAGGUACGGUCGCGAGAAGUUAAACGUUAAAGGUAAAGUUAGUUACGGUCGUUGAGACGUUGCCGACGGCGACGACGAGGGAGGAGG
rnacentral:rRNA from 1 species